ACGCCAACCCAACUUGCUCCAACUCCGAAAUCAGAAUGGAUGUCAUGUAACGUUAGGUUAGAUGCAUUCGCUUGUCCGCGGGGUUCGCGGGAUUGUUCGUCGGUAAGACUGAUAGAAAUCGUAGAAAGAAUUGAGAAGCUCACGGAGAUGAUGUUAGCCAAGACGUCUACCUAAGCUGCAUCGAGACCUCGGUUGGUAUUUAGUUUGGACGUUCUUCCUAUCACGGUUUCGCUUUGUGAGAGAGUUAACG
rnacentral:misc_RNA from 1 species